UACAGAGGGGGCAAGCGUUGUUCGGAAUUACUGGGCGUAAAGCGUGCGUAGUCGGUUAUUUAAGUCGGGCGUGAAAGCCCCGGGCUCAACCUGGGAAUUGCGUUCGAUACUGGAUAGCUAGAGUUCGGCAGAGGGAAGCGGAAUUUCUGGUGUAGCGGUGAAAUGCGUAGAUAUCAGAAGGAACAUCAGUGGCGAAAGCGGCUUCCUGGACCAGAACUGACGAUCAGGCACGAAAGCGUGGGGAGCAAACAGG
rnacentral:rRNA from 1 species